ensembl:lncRNA
GGAGUUCCCUGGGGAGUUCACAUCACUGGUCUCCUUCUGACCUACAGAAACAGAAAGAAAACCACAUCCAAAAAUCUCUAUUAGAAAACGUUGUUCCCCACCCUGGUUCUGGAAAGCUAAACCCAAAGGACCCCAACACCUUAUCUCUUUUACAGAAGAACAAAGAAAGUGAAAAGAGACUUACAGUGACCAUAUAAAGUAGGGGCCAACUGAAAUCUUGUACCCAAAGUCUCAGACCUUUAUCUUUCUAUUUUUUCCCAGCAGGCUGUGCAAUUUCUCUCUCAUUUAAUCCUUCCUCAUGACCGAUGUAAAUUAGGCAUCUUUCCAAUGAAAACAGUGGCUAACUUGGUCUCAUUUUGCAGCUUAAUCUUUAAUUUAUUCUUACUUUUACUCUAAUGAUUUGUGUAGAAUUUUGGUUAACUCUUGAAUGAAUUUGGUGGAGGAGCAAUUAAAAAGGAAUCAGGUUGUGAUAUAGGAAGAUAUAGAAAGAGGUGAUUCAACCUAAAGACCUGAGGACUUUGAGAACAGCCUUUUUUUCAUUUUUUAGAGUUUUAUCGAAGUAUAGUUGAUUUACAGUGUUGUGAUAAUUUCUGCUCGACAACAAAGUGAUUUAGUUAUACAUGUACACACAUCCAUUCUCAUUGAGAUUCUUUUCCCACAUAGAUUAUCACAGAAUAUUGGGUAGAAUUCCCUGUGCUAAUAAUUCCACAUACCUCAGUGUGCAGAUGCCAAUCCCACAGCCCCAGUCCAUCCCUCCACCUCCCACCCCACACCUGUCCCCUUGGAUAACCAUAAGUUUUUCAGAAUCUGUGAGUCUGUUUCUGUUCUGAAGUAAGUCCAUUCGUGUCCUUUUUUUAGGAGUCCACAUAUAAGUAAUGUCAUAACGCAUUUUUAAGACAGUGAAAAGUGAGAUCUUUGGACUUCUCUUUGCUGCAAAUGUGUAUGGCUCAACUCCUCCGCGUCUCAGCCAGGUCAGGAGGCUGAGGAACCAUGGGCAGACGCAAGUGUGGCUGGGAAUAUUCCGGGGGUUUCCGUGAACCUGUCACCGAGUUGCCCUAGCGACCUAGAAAAGAAGCUCUGAGGUAGUGGGCCAGUUUGCUGACACCAGCCCCACCCCCUAGACAGAUCCGUUCAUCUCCCCCGAAGGGAAGCUCUUUUCCAGGACACCAAGGAAGCGCCAAUGCCAGCUAUCUUUUGGCAGUCAUCAAGUGGGUCCAAAAUCCAUCCUGGGCUAAUUGCAAAUCUCUAUUUGUUCAAAUGAAGAUAAGCAGGNNNNNNNNNNNNNNNNNNNNNNNNNNNNNNNNAAUGAAGUUCUGUCAUCAGCUCAUAGUUCUCAGAACCACUGGAUUGACCUGGGGGCAUGGGUUAUCUUGAAGAAGACAGUCCUUUAUUUUCUAGACUCUUCCAUGUUCCUCUGUGGUACAUACCCAUGACUCCUGUAGGGGCCUUUGGUGGCUCCCCCAGUGUCUCAGACCCUGAGAAAACAAUGGGGCUCAAUUUCCCCAGAUCUUUGGUCUGGAGGCUGGGCAGCUGCUUUCUCCCCCUGGAUCCUUCACUUUAGCCUCUGGGGAUGUAUCUCCUACUCAGGCGGUAAAGCAUGUGGCUAAUCUCCACCAUCUAAGCUACUCUAGAUAUUGGUGAGUUAGGAGCUCAAAUCAUUGGCUGGUAUGUCCUCUUUACAAAUACUUAUUUCCGUUUUACAGAUAAUAAAUAAUUCAACAGCAAAAUAACUUGCGGUGGUCAAAGGCCUGGCAAAGGGAAAAAAGUAAGCUCAGCCCCUGAAACCAAAGAGAUUUUUCUUUGGGGAAGGUGUUCCAUGAAAAUUCCUUCUUCCCAGGGACAUGCAUAAAGCAGCUCUCUCCCCAACUCUAUUCUUUAAUAUGUCACUUGAGAACUCACAAUUUUGGAGAACCUGGUGCAGAGGGGGUCAAUGGUCAGGUGAGCUUCGAAAAAGCUGCCUUUUAUGUCUCUUGGAAAUUUGCUGCACACCCUGCGAGAUCCCAUAGGACAGAAACCUAUUUAAAUUUGUCGAACUCAAUUUCCUGAGUAGUUCCCCACGAAAACUUUUCCCCACCAAACACCUGUUAUUAUGUCACAUAAUCAGUAUUCUGCACCCCACAUUUUGUGAAGCCCCUCAUCUUGGGGUAGCCUUUUCAGAGCUCCCGGGAGAGGCAGACUUCUCUCAUCUGCUUUCUAAAUUGUGCAUUUUUAUCACUUAUGAGGCCAGGGCCAUAGGUAUUAUAUCAGCGAAUUCUCACAGCAACUUAGAGGGAAAUACUAGUCCUGCAACCAGUAGUCAGUUAAUAAUUAAGAGUUAUUAGUUAUCUGUGGUGGGCAUGACUCCAGGACAGGUUUCUUUUUAUCCCCAUUUUAUAGAUGGGCAGAGUGAGGCCCAGAAAAGUUAAAUAAUCUAGCAGAGUCACAUGACCUUCAGGUUGCAGAGCCAGAAAUAAAAAUCCAUUUCUUUGAUUCCCAUCUUGAGUGGGGUCCACUUUUCCAGACUGUAGAUGAGCUACUAUUGUCGCCCUUGCCCCAGCGUCACUUUGGAGUCUCAGAACAGGAUUGCAAGAGAUGUCUUUGUUCUGAACCUCAUCAAGAUUCUUGCCGUUGCUCCUUUCCCACCCUCUGUUCUCCUCGCUUCCAGGUCUGAAGUAGAGGAGUGAGGCUGGUGAGUGACCUCCUGGGUAGAGGGGGGCCCCCUCAGACCUGGGGACAUGGAACUCAGUGCCCCAGUCACUGUUGCGUUUGCAUUGUCCAAAGACGGAGAAGAUCGCUUGGCUCAAGAGCUUUGAAUCCCCCUGCCCUUGUCUGCUUUGUAGGAGAGUUUCCCCCAGACACAGAGCUUCAGGCAAAUCAUUCUAAAUGGAAGCCAAGGCCAGUGGUGUGGGUGGGAGGCCUUUGGACUCUGGGUUUCCUGUGCUGUGGUCUAAAACCUGUUCAGUCAAGUUGAAUUGUACUGGUGUUCUGGGGAUUUGUAUAGGGAGCCCAUGGCCAGCUGUUUAUUAUUUUAAGAACUCUCAGUUGCUGCCCUUAGACAUGGGGGAGGGGAGGGGCCUGCCUACUGUGCAAGGCGGCUGCCACGUUCUCCUGGGAAUGACAGUAUUGCUCUGUAUACUCCCCUCGGGCGCAGCUACUGCAUUCCAGCCUCUCUGUAGACAGAUGAAUGGAAAGGAGUUCAUGGCAUCAUUAUUAAGAUCCAUAGUCUCCAGCCAUUGUGUUUGUUCCUGUCCUGUCACCUGUGUGUGGGGAAGACCCCACUGAGGACUUGUGAUCAGGACACACAGCCUGAUCCAGGUAACGAGGCAGCUCGUUCACUCUAGGCUCAUGCCUUCUUCACCCUUCCAAACGUGUCCCUGCUGGGCGCCCCCCACACUGAGAAUGUCUGUGUCCCACUGGAACAUCUGUUAUUGCCCAAUCCAGCUCAACACCCUUCCAGCCAUGGCCCAAGAAGCCAGUGCUGAGUACUUUCAAUAAAACAGAGCAAUGUCCUCGAGCUGUAAAUGCCUCGCAAAGAGGAUCGGACAGAACUUCAUUGUUCCAGGGAAGAAGGCUCCUCACAUAGUGAGCGGUCACAUUGUGGUUACCGGGGGCCUGGUGAUUAAUCCUCCGAGAGGAUGUGCAGGAGAGAGGAGCUGGCGUCAUUCCUGUAGAUGGAGAUUCUUUCCAAUUUCAUGUCUCUGACUGAACAUGUGCACCGGCAACACAAGAUUUCCAUUGUGAAGGGUUCUUUGGCGACCUCGUUUCCCAGCUCUGAGUUGGCAUUCGUGUAACUACCUUGCUUUCUGCUCAGGGACACUGCGUUCCUGCAACUUAUAUGUUUCACACUAAAAUAUACUCCAGGGCAGCUUACAGUUACACUUCUGCAGGUGCAUGCUUACCCAGCUUGAUGAAAUUUCUCAAUUAGAAAUGGGAUAUUGAGUGACUGGCGCAUGGGAAAAUGAACAAAUUCAGAUAGUGAUCAAUAUGCAUUAGGUAUAAAUAAUUGAAUUAUUUUCAGAAUCGAUUUUUCAAAAGUUCUGUGCUAAAAUCUUUUCGAGGCACUCCAGGGGAUUGUAGCGAUAUCCAUCAAUACCCACCAUGAUCACCGCUGGGUGAGGGGAGGACUCUUAUGGAAAAGGUAUUGCAAAGGCAAGCACUCUGGGAACGGUGUGGGAAGGGCUGAGGAAGAACAGCAUGAUGGUGCUGGUGGACGAAACUCCACAGCUCUCUGCCACUUACUGGUACCAGACCUUGGACAACUUCUCUGAGUUUCUUUUUCUUUAUCUAAGUAAGUUUGAGGAAUAGAUCAUAAGAUGUGCGUCUAUGAUGCUCUUCUGCAUCCAGCUAUUGGAAUAACUUGUCUAGUUCAGGAUGACCUGCUUUUGGACUGCCAUGAAAAUGUUCCGGACCUGAUCUCAGUGGUUGUGCCUCUCAGACCAUUUCAGGACCCCAGGAGUAAGCUGGCAGACAGCUCGGUGGGGAUGGAGAUGGGGGGUGCAAGGGAUAAUUAGGGAUUUGUUCAUGGAUUGGCUAUCAGAGCAAGGGAGAAAUAUCAGUCUCAGAGAGCUCCUAUUUCUGUGUUGGACAACUGCUGGGUGUUUAAUCCAGAUCCUUCUCUGUCCAGAUUAAGUGUAUGCUUGAGCUUUUGGGGAAACCCAGGUCAAAGGGCACUGCCUCCGGGUCUGUAUCCAGAAGCAAGCCUUCUGCCAAGGCAGAGUGGGAUAAGCUGCUGCUUGUUUUCAUAACCUACCGUCACACAGGAUGGCCCUUAGAGCUAGAAGACAAAGCAAAGAAAGUUGUGUCUCUUUGUUUUGAGCUCAAGGCCUUUUAGUGCCAUCAAAUAUCUCCUUGUUCCCUUGUUGUGCAACAGGACACACAGCUCUGAAUAGGACCUUUUAUAACUGGAAAUUCCACAGUUCCAGUUGCCCCUGACUCUCUUCCAUGCCAAACGACAUCCUCCAAGACUUUGAGUUGCCUGUUUGAAGGAAGCACAGCGUCACCCACGCUUCUCACCCCACGCGCCUCCCCACAGGCUCAGCCCAGACUCUGCGAGAGUGGCAGGCCCAGCUUCUGGCUCCCAAGUGGUAGAAGCUGGAGUCAGGGGCCAGUACUACCCCACCAUUCAGUCUUCCUCCAGCUGCCCCAGAUGCUUCCAGAAGCUCUGCCUGGAUAGAGAGGCUAGGCUCGUCUUAAACAGAAUACAUCCAAGUCUCCUCUGCAUCCUGGUUCCAGAAAGGAUAUUCACAAGAGAGGCCACCCUGCCUGGUGUGGACCCACUUGGUCAGGUCCCAUGCACCUGCCUCGCCACCAGCAACUGUUCUGAUUUGUAUGUGAACAGGUUUCUGAACAAAUCCCUACCUACAGAUCUGUGGGUUAGAAAUACAUCCAAACCGUGCUUUCUACCUGAGUAGGAGAGAAGAGUGCUGUUUAUCAAGCCCAUGUAAUCUAACUGGUUAUUUGGUAUUAGAUUUUUAUUUAAUCAUCACAGAAAAUACUGUGAGGCCACCUCCAUUGUCCAGAGGAGAAAACUAAAAAUCAGCGGCUUUGAGGAUUUGCCCACGUUUCUAUAGCUACCAAGUGGAGCGAUGAGAUUCAAACUCGUGUCUAGCUGACCCAAAGUUGGGCUCCUUCUUUUAGAUCAGGCUCAUUUCCACACCCCUUUCCCACUAAGUCCAGUUGCUGAUAUGCCUUCUGCCCUGGCCAGCAGCGCCUGAGAAGCGGGACUUGGGCAGACUUCCUCUGGCCUGACCUCCUCUAGCAGUUUCCUUUCCUUCUUGAUGAUGCGUCAUUUCCUCUACCCUCCAUGGAUGCCCAGGGCCCUCAGGUUUUCCUCUUCUCUCCGUCAGUGCCCCAGCUGCAGUGCAUCUGAGAUUUUAGUCCAGGUCAGAACUGGGACUGUAGCCCAGAUGGUCUCUGAACCACCAGAGGUGACAGGAUGACCUCUCCAGAGACUGACUCUGAGGACAAACAGUUCACAGACACAGAGGGCAAAGGGUAAUCUCAGGCCAGGAGUGAUUCUUGGACUCCCAGUAAUUCCAGCUCCAGAUGACCCUGCCAGGAUGGCAGGCACCACCACACUGGCCUGGUUGGCUCAUCAUAUGGGUUCAGAUUCUGUGUGUUCAACAUUUAUGAGACAUCGAAUCUAAUGGAAACAGAGAAUACAUGGAAAAUGACCUCACUGGCUGAGGACUGAAGUGAAAUGCCUGGCUUGAAAUUUGGCCUCAUCCACCCUUCCCUCCUUUCCGGCUGCUCCUGUGGCCAUGUGGCCCCAUCCCAAGGCCGCUGUAGAGGAGGCUUCUGUGCACAGGGUGGUAGCUCCUGGCAGCCCUGUGUGUCUACUUUGCUGCAUGAAGGAACUCACCAAUUUCAGUAGCAAUCUGCAAGAUUAUCCAAGGAGACCAAGGUAAAGACAUUUAUAAGGUGUGGCCGUGUUUCCUUGCUAGGAAAGAAAACUGGAAGUAAAUGAGGUGACUCAUUGAAAUUUCACUGAAAGGCCCAAAUAAUCAUGUGGGGUGUGGCAUUUCCACCUCAAUACAGUAAUGCAUUUUUUUUUUUUUUUGCAGAAAAUUCAUAUACCUUCUUUUUCCUGUCAGCCCCAUGAAAUAGACAUGUAUAGACGAUCACGCUGUUCCUGGACCUGCAGACAGAGAGGGGUGAGACCCAGCGCUACCCUGGAAGAAAGAAGGAGGAGAUGAAAAUGUCCAAAGCCAAUCACAGCACCACGUGGGAAGCACCACCACGGAGAUCUGUCCGCACAGAGGGGAUGGGGAGAGAGGUGCCUCUGUCACUGUCUGGAAUUCCCGGUGGAGCUGAUGCUCCAUUCCAGUCCUGAUAGGGGUCCCUCCAGGAGUUAGAGUAGAAGGAGAUUAUUAAUGGAGAGGAAACUGUGUUGGUGGCACAGCAGUGAACAAGGAUGGAGGGUGUUUGGGGGCCACAAAGCGGAUUUGAGGGGCUCACAGCAAAACUGAUCCCCUACAAACCAGUGAAGAAUUUAUGACUCUGGUUAUUAUAUUUUAAAAGAAAAAAAAUGCCUUAAACACGUGACUUAUUCAAAUUUUGAAAGGAAGUUUUAUGGACCAAACCUUCUUCCCUUUGUAUUCAUUAAGGCUCUAACCUGGCGGCUGAGAACAGAGGGAACAGCCUGGAGCACAAAGCCCCCGAGACUCAAAUUAGUAACUCCCCAUUUCCACUCAGACAUCACACUUUACUUUUUAAAAAAUUCAAGCAACAUCAUAUGAUGUUACAUAUUCCAUGAUGUACUUCUCUCCUUCUUGGUAAGGAGUGUUGGGCUUUGGCAUCAUGUUUUGGUCUUGCCCAAACUCCACUUUGUAUGAUUAAUAUGCAGCUCACAGGGCCAAGAAAGAGNNNNNNNNNNNNNNNNNNNNNNNNNNNNAAUCCCAAAGGAUUUGCAAAAUUCAGUCAACGAGUUAAUUUUUUUUUUUUUCAGUAGGAGGAUCACAUUGCCAGAAGAAUGAAGCGCCUUGGCAUUUGUCAAGCGCCAGGCUGAAGCUUUGCUUUGUGGUUCUAUGAGCUUUGCUCAAAGUGAGGGGAAAAAAUCAGUCUUUACAGAUAUUAAUAAGUGGUGUGUACUGCUGAGGCUGAGUUUAAAAAAUUAAAUCCACAUUGGAAGUUAAUAGCCUCUGAAGAUUUAGGACACAUCAUUCAACAUUUUAAAUUUCAUCAGUAGCAAUGGAACCAAUAUAAAUAUCAGGGGAUUUGCUGUACAAAUUUAAUAGAGCUGGAAAUUUAAAAAGUCCAAAUGAAUGGAUUAUAAAUGUCCUGUGAACACAAAUAAUUGGCCAAAUACAUAAAUUUAAUUCUC